UGCAGUCGAGCGGCAGCACGGGGAGCUUGCUCCCUGGUGGCGAGCGGCGGACGGGUGAGUAAUGCAUAGGAAUCUGCCCGGUAGUGGGGGAUAACGUGGGGAAGCCCACGCUAAUACCGCAUACGUCCUACGGGAGAAAGCGGAGGAUCUUCGGACUUCGCGCUAUCGGAUGAGCCUAUGUCGGAUUAGCUAGUUGGUAAGGUAACGGCUUACCAAGGCGACGAUCCGUAGCUGGUCUGAGAGGAUGAUCAGCCACACUGGGACUGAGACACGGCCCAGACUCCUACGGGAGGCAGCAGUGGGGAAUAUUGGACAAUGGGCGAAAGCCUGAUCCAGCCCUGCCGCGUGUGUGAAGAAGGCUUUCGGGUUGUAAAGCACUUUCAGCGAGGAAGAAAGCCUCUGGGUUAAUACCCCAGAGGAAGGACAUCACUCGCAGAAGAAGCACCGGCUAACUCCGUGCCAGCAGCCGCGGUAAUACGGAGGGUGCGAGCGUUAAUCGGAAUUACUGGGCGUAAAGCGCGCGUAGGUGGCUUGGCACGCCGGUUGUGAAAGCCCCGGGCUCAACCUGGGAACGGCAUCCGGAACGGCCAGGCUAGAGUGCAGGAGAGGAAGGUAGAAUUCCCGGUGUAGCGGUGAAAUGCGUAGAGAUCGGGAGGAAUACCAGUGGCGAAAGCGGCCUUCUGGCCUGACACUGACACUGAGGUGCGAAAGCGUGGGUAGCAAACAGGAUUAGAUACCCUGGUAGUCCACGCCGUAAACGAUGUCGACUAGCCGUUGGGACCUUUAANGACUUAGUGGCGCAGUUAACGCGAUAAGUCGACCGCCUGGGGNGUACGGCCGCAAGGUUAAAACUCAAAUGAAUUGACGGGGGCCCGCACAAGCGGUG
rnacentral:rRNA from 1 species